rnacentral:rRNA from 1 species
GAAUUGUUCGCAAUGGGCGCAAGCCUGAUCCAGCCACGCCGCGUGAGUGAUGAAGGCCUUCGGGUCGUAAAGCUCUGUGGGGAGGGACGAACGUCCCGUUGAAGAAACGGGGGUGACGGUACCUCCUUAGCAAGCACCGGCUAACUUCGUGCCAGCAGCCGCGGUAAUACGAAGGGUGCAAACGUUGCUCGGAAUCAUUGGGCGUAAAGCGCACGUAGGCGGCGCAACAAGUCGGACGUGAAAUCCCUCGGCUCAACCGAGGACGUGCAUCCGAAACUGUUGUGCUCGAGUAUGGAAGAGGGUCGCGGAAUUCUCGGUGUAGAGGUGAAAUUCGUAGAUAUCGGGAGGAACACCAGUGGCGAAGGCGGCGACCUGGGCCAAUACUGACGCUGAGGUGCGAAAGCGUGGGGAGCAAAC